UGCUCGAGUAGAAGCGGUCAGGGUCAUUCGCCCGGGACAUUGCUCGUUAA
rnacentral:ncRNA from 1 species